rnacentral:tRNA from 1 species
CGCGGGAUAGAGCAGUGGUCAGCUUGUCGGGUCGACUUCCCGAAGGUCGCCGGUUCGAAUCCGGCUCCCGCUACCA